GACGGAGGAUGCAAGCGUUAUCCGGAAUGAUUGGGCGUAAAGCGUCCGCAGGUGGCAGUUCAAGUCUGCUGUCAAAGACCGGGGCUUAACUUCGGAAAGGCAGUGGAAACUGAACAGCUAGAGUAUGGUAGGGGCAGAGGGAAUUCCUGGUGUAGCGGUGAAAUGCGUAGAGAUCAGGAAGAACAUCGGUGGCGAAGGCGCUCUGCUGGACCAUAACUGACACUGAGACGCGAAAGCGUGGGGAGCAAACAGG
rnacentral:rRNA from 1 species